rnacentral:rRNA from 1 species
GACGAACGCUGGCGGCGCGCUUAACACAUGCAAGUCGAGCGAGAACCAGGGCUUCGGCCCUGGGGAAAGCGGCGAACGGGUGAGUAACACGUGAGUCAUCCACCCUCGGCACCGGGAUAGCCCGGGGAAACCCGGAUUAAUACCGGAUGGCCCGUCUGCCCUUCGGGGCGGCCGGAAAAGGUAGCUUCGGCCUCCGGCCGAGGACGAGCUCGCGGCGGAUUAGCUUGUUGGUGGGGUAACGGCCCACCAAGGCGACGAUCCGUAGCUGGUCUGAGAGGACGAUCAGCCACACUGGGACUGAGACACGGCCCAGACUCCUACGGGAGGCAGCAGUGGGGAAUCUUGCGCAAUGGGCGAAAGCCUGACGCAGCGACGCCGCGUGCGGGAAGAAGGCCUUCGGGUUGUAAACCGCUUUCAGGAGGGACGAAGCCACUCGGGUUAAUAGCCCAGAGGGUGACGGUACCUCCAGAAGAAGCCCCGGCUAACUACGUGCCAGCCGCCGCAGUAACAC